GCAUCGGUGGUUCAGUGGUUGAAUGCUCGCCUGCCACGCGGGCGGCCUGGGUUCGAUUCCCGGCCGAUGCA
rnacentral:tRNA from 1 species